rnacentral:rRNA from 1 species
GACGAACGCUGGCGGCGUGCCUAAUACAUGCAAGUAGAACGCUGAAGGAGGAGCUUGCUUCUCUGGAUGAGUUGCGAACGGGUGAGUAACGCGUAGGUAACCUGCCUGGUAGCGGGGGAUAACUAUUGGAAACGAUAGCUAAUACCGCAUAACAGUAGAUAUCGCAUGAUAUCUACUUGAAAGGUGCAAUUGCAUCACUACCAGAUGGACCUGCGUUGUAUUAGCUAGUUGGUGAGGUAACGGCUCACCAAGGCGACGAUACAUAGCCGACCUGAGAGGGUGAUCGGCCACACUGGGACUGAGACACGGCCCAGACUCCUACGGGAGGCAGCAGUAGGGAAUCUUCGGCAAUGGACGGAAGUCUGACCGAGCAACGCCGCGUGAGUGAAGAAGGUUUUCGGAUCGUAAAGCUCUGUUGUAAGAGAAGAACGAGUGUGAGAGUGGAAAGUUCACACUGUGACGGUAUCUUACCAGAAAGGGACGGCUAACUACGUG